rnacentral:rRNA from 1 species
CAGCAGCCGCGGUAAUACAGAGGGUGCAAGCGUUAAUCGGAAUUACUGGGCGUAAAGCGCGCGUAGGUGGUUUGUUAAGUUGGAUGUGAAAUCCCCGGGCUCAACCUGGGAACUGCAUCCAAAACUGGCAAGCUAGAGUAUGGUAGAGGGUGGUGGAAUUUCCUGUGUAGCGGUGAAAUGCGUAGAUAUAGGAAGGAACACCAGUGGCGAAGGCGACCACCCGGACUGAUACUGACACUGAGGUGCGAAAGCGUGGGGAGCAAACAGGAUUAGAUACCCCGGUAGUCCCUGUCUCUUAUAC